AGCUUUGCGCUGUGCCAAUAUCAUAGCCAAUGAGGUUUAUCCAAAGCACGAUUAUUGCUAAUUGAAAAAGUAAAAGUUAAUGAAGAGAGUCCCAAAACCUCCCUCCAAGAUAAAUAAAUUUUUUUUAAAAAA
rnacentral:snRNA from 1 species